rnacentral:rRNA from 1 species
UACGUAGGUGGCAAGCGUUGUCCGGAUUUAUUGGGUUUAAAGGGUGCGUAGGCGACCCUGUAAGUCAGCGCUGAAAUAUCCCGGCUUAACCGGGAGGGUGGCAUUGAUACUGCAGGGCUUGAGUAAAGUUGAGGUUGGCGGAAUUGACGGUGUAGCGGUGAAAUGCUUAGAUAUCGUCAAGAACACCGAUAGUGAAGACAGCUAACUAAGCUUUAACUGACGCUGAGGCACGAAAGUGUGGGGAUCAAACAGG